rnacentral:pre_miRNA from 1 species
UCUUAUGGAAGGGCCAAGAGAAUGGUUUCUUGAGAUGGAAUCUACUCCUGGGGAAAAUGCUGUGAA